UGCACCCCGCCCCCGGCAGGGUCUCCGUGGAGCCACGGACUGUGGGAUUUCCCUGGGGCGCGCUGACCUUCCUGCUUCCUGCCUUUCCCACAGCUCCUGGGCCAGGGGCUUCCCGGAGCAGAAGGUCGGCCCCGGGGCCCAUUGUUCUGAGUGUUUCUUUAGUUAAAAAGUAAAAGAGCCGGUGUCUGUCCAGAAGAGAAAAUGGGAAAAAAAACCUGGGCCCUCGCCCACUGCCCAGUGCCCGAGCAGGUUCCAUGUCCCCGCCUGCGGACCGUCCCCGUCGGCUCCAGGCUUCCUACUUCUGUCCCUUAAUUCUCAGUUUCUACUUCGCGCUCGGACAGAUGUCGCCUUUACACCUUCAGAAUUCUCACUUUAAAGAUCGUCUCGGUGGCCUUAGGCUCUCCCUUCACGAGCCCUUCCCAUACUUCUGGGUGACGCCAGCUUGCAGUUCCAUCAGCGGCAGGGUCAGGAUAUGAAUUUGCGUGCUGCCAAUGCCGGGUGUGGCCUCAAAAACAUUUUUUUUUGCCAACUUAGUAAAUAAAAAACAGUCUCUCGGCGCCUCCUUAA